CGCACUAGGAGGAGUGGAAUGUAGUGAUGUCACCGUCUGCCUACCAACUGUCAUUACUGGAAGACUGGCCCUGGUCUUAUGACCCAGUCCCCUAAACGUUGUCACCCCGUUUCUGGUUCUGGUCACAGCAGAAAUUUCCAACUGGAAGGGGAAUGGAGACUAUGGGACCUAGGAGCAAGAGGUUUCAGGCUGCCUCACUCCCUUACCAUAGACAUUGACAGUGGGAAAAGCCUACACUUCCCCCUUCAAAGAAUAUUGGCAGAGAAACCGCCCUGGUGUUCCAGCAGCAGCGAAGAGGAACAGGAAAGCAAAUGGCAGUAGCCCUGAGGCAGCCGCUUCUGGUGGUUGCCACUCAUCUGAGGCUGUGAGUCUUGCCUGGACAGGCUUCUGGGGACAGGGGGCCCAAGGGGCAGUAGAGGGCAAUCGUUAAGAUUGUGGAUGGACUGUUGGGUACUGGUGAAGGAUUCUGGAUUUGGCCGGGCACGGUGGCUCACGCCUGUAAUCCCAACACUUCGGGAGACCGAGGCAGGUGGAUCACAAGGUCAGGAGAUCGAGACCAUGCAGGCAAACACGGUGAAAUACUAAAAAAUACCAAAAAAAAAGCCGGGCGUGGUGGCGGGCGCCUGUAGUCCCAGCUACUCCGGAGUCUGAGGGAGGAGAAUGGCGUGAACCUAGGAGGCGGAGCUUGCAGUGAGCCAAGAUCACGCCACUGCACUCCAGCCUGGAAGGCAGAGAGAGACUCCGUUUCAAAAAAGAAAAGAAUUCUGGGUUUGAAUCCUGCCUCUCUGUCUGCUAGGGAUAUGAUUUAGGGCAAGUUGCUUGAGCUCUUUGGGCCUCUGUUUUCACAUCUGUAUGAUAGAGGUGGUAUUGUUUGACUUGUAUUUGUGAAGUUUAAAUGAGAUUUAUAAUUGUCAAUUUUAUGUUAAUCCCUAGUACAUGGCCUGCUGUCAACACCCAGGACACCCAGGAUAUGGUCUUUGCUGUUUGAUUUUCCUCAUCCCCAGUCUCAAGGGGAAGCCAGGACAAUGAGAACAGCCACUUCCCAUCAGGAGUCACUGCAAGGGCCCCAGGGUGGGAUGGUGGGGAGAUAAGAACCAUGAGAGAAGUUGGCACAAAUGAGUUAUGGGACAAAGGGUCCAAGAUAGGCAGAAAAGAAAAUGUUGCCAGUUGAUGGGGAAGAAAGGAAGUCGGAGGGCUCAGACACUGAGGGGGACAGAACGUCUCCAUGUGCACUCUCAUCUCUUAUAGUCAGCAACAGGUAUCCAUGGGGAGGGCCCUACAUCAUCUGCUACCCUGAAGGAUCUGGAGGUAGGAGGCUCUGGGCGGAGGUGCAGUGACCCCGCAGGCCAGCCCUCCAACCUCCUCCCGCAGCGGAGACUGGGUGCCCCUCUGCCAGCUGAGACAGCCCACACACAACCCAGCCCUAAUGAUCGUUCUCUCUACCUCUCC
rnacentral:lncRNA from 1 species